rnacentral:tRNA from 1 species
GUCCCCAUCGUCUAGAGGCCUAGGACACCGGCUUUUCAUGCCGGCAGCAGGGGUUCGAAUCCCCUUGGGGACG